CAGAUAUUGGGAGAAGCGGGGCAGAUGCUUCAUGCUUUCAGAGGUUUCCAAAGAUGGCCAGGUUGCUGCAGCCAUGAAGAUAUCUAGGGUGCCUGGACAAAGGAGGAGCCCUACUAUGUGAACUGUCAAUGGAGUAGAAGUCAAGCAAAGGGGACUUGCUGCCUGCCACGUCUGCCUCCCGCUGUGAAAUCGCAACAAGGCAACCAGGAAUAGCUGAGGCAGAGGCUCAAAAAUACUUUAGAAACCUGUGGCCUGAUGCAUCGCUUGAAAUUUUUAUGGAGCUGCGGGCUGGAGUGCUGUGGGAGAAACAAAAGUGGGAGGAACGCCACAAAGGACCAUGUUAGAAGUUAACACAACUAUUCUAUAAAUUAUGUGAUAAAACAAAUACUGCUGAUGCUGAUGAUAAUGAUAAAUGCUUUUCAUCAGUUUUACUGAAGCAUUUUAAAUCUUGUGGGACAGAUGGGAAAAUAAAACUUGCUGUUGGAACCUUGGGAUUUAUAAGAAACUCCUUGGUCAACAUUAUAAGGAGGACGGAAUCUUCCAAGGUGAAGAGGAGAAGCUAGUGUGAUAACAACAUUUCUAUCAUCAUCACUGU